GGCCUCUGAUGCUGUGGCAGGGUGGCUGUGGCAUCCCGUCCUCCAGUGCAACCCGUGCCUCAGGACGCCCUGCACACUGACAGUCAAGGUGUGCACAGCACAGCACCCAGCGGGUUUCACUGACAGGGGAUGGGAGCCGCAGCCCCCAACCCUCAGAGUUCACAGCAACAGAAGCAAGAUGACAGCCAGAUAAUCCACAAUGCCAGGGGCUUUUGAGAGUAAUGAGUCCUUUCUGUCUUUGGAUGGGUGACACUGGUGGCUCACUUCACAGGACAGAGAAGUACACAGCUGACCACAGUUCCCAGCCUCACUUCAGCUGGACUGAGACCACGUAACCAGGCCUGGGGGAUGGAAUGAAGGCAGAAGUUACGUCCUGCCCAGCCAGAAACCAUCCUACUCAAUCUGCCUUCCUCUGAGUGCUGACGAGAGUCUUCAAGGUGACCUUCAGCCGUGGGAUGGUGGAGGCUUGGAAGGAAGCAGCCUGGGACCCCAGGCCCUCUUUGGGAGGAGGGCAGGAUGUGCUACCCAGCGUCCAGACACCUGGUUUGGGCUGUCUACUGGAUUUCACCCCAACCUGCCUAUUCUGAUUAAUAUGCUAAUAAAGCGUGAGCAGUAGAAAUCAGCUUGGCUUCCAGGACGGAGGGGCGAGGGUGAGCAGAGAAGUUUCGGAUCAUGCAGAGGCACCACCAAGGACCCUCUGGGAGGAGCCUUCCCAGAGAAUGAGGUGCAGCAGCACCAGACCAGCCUCCCCAAGCAACAUUGGGACUUCCCACCCCCAGUCCUGCCUGGUGGCCUCCCAAAAAGCAGGCUGGAAGGAUGAAGGGCUCACCCACCUAAGCCAGCAUGCUGCCCGCAGAAAGGACCUGUUGCACCAGGAAAGAAGGAGACCAAGGCUUAAGGAGAAGCCGAACCCAGAAGUGGGAAGGAAUCCCACAGAGACUCCGGAACCCAGUAUCCCGCAGCCUGCAGGCCCUGGCCAGGGCACUGUCCUUGGGCCCUAAGGAGCCGCCAUUCAUGGACUAGCACUCAGAGGACCCCAGCAGAGGACCUGAGGGGUGACACUCUCUGCAGACAAGCAGGUUCCUGUCCUAGAGAAAGACCUCACUGGGAAUAGCCGCCCUCAGAGACCUGUGCAGAAGCCAGGCAGGAAGCCUGGGACGGUGGCAGAUGCUUCAGGAAGAGCGAGCCCGGCCUGAGAAGUGAGAGCAGGACAAGGAUGUCACCGGGAAGCCACAGUGUGAGCUGAGGAGGGAAGGAGGGACGAAGGUGGCAAGAAGGGGAGCCAGGCAGCGUGAGAGAGGGACGUGAGGAAAUGAAACGCCUUCUGCUCACACAGAGAGAGCCGGCCACUAAUGAGGAGGCGUGUGCUGCUUACCGAGCCUGGAAAUGCCUAAGUGUGAAUUCCUCCUCUCCUAUUUCAUUUCAGAUGAAAACUGAGACUCUAGAAGUUUCCAGAAUGGCGCUCAGUAAGCUGUAACCCAGUUACCAUGUCUAUCUUGGGCAGAGUGGGAGGAUGCAGCAUUUUAAGUAAAAAGAAAAUCAACCCCAGUCUGGCCAAUGGGCUGUUUGUUAGGGUGAUCCCAUGAGAUACUGUCAGAUACAGUCUGGCCAGUGGGCUGUUAGGGUGAUCCCGUGAGAUACUGAGCCACUGUCCUCCCUAGUGGUGGGUCUAGGCCUUGCAGGAUGGGUGGGACAGGAACCAUGGCCUCUUUCCUCAGGGUGGGCCUGAGCAGUCUGCACCCUCAUGCAGAGCAAGAGCAGGGAGAAGUCAGGGCCUCCCAGGUCCAGAGACCCUGCCCCUAUGAGUCACACACAAGCACGUGGGCUUUCAGGGCCUUCAAAGAGCAUCUCUUCAGGACACUCCCCACCCACAGACCACAUCUGAUUUGUCCCCCACUGUAACCUGAGUGCCUUGCACAGCAUCUGGCACAGGGAAGGACUCAGGAACACCCACUGAAAGGUUGAAUGGAGAGGGACAGACAGCAAAAUGAAGAAAGAAAACGCAAUACUUGAGUGAUGUUCUUUAUAAAAACACGGAGCAACCAUCCAGGCAGUGGGAGGACCAGGAGCAGGUGACCCGUGCUGCACAGCAUCUUGGCCACCCGGCCCUGGGAGCCUGGAGUAUCGGGUUUCAGCAAAGAGCUGCCAGGUUCUCUCUGAGAAGCCCAAGUAACUGCCCCUCCAGGGGCCUCACAGAGCACCCCCUCGGCGCCGUGUGCGUCUGCUGAGAACAGGAAGAAGGCAGAACGGUGAUUCCGACUCCAGCUGUUCAUCGUGGCCUCCUUCACGAAAGGCAGAGUGAGUGCCACCAGCGCACUGUAAUGCCCUAUUCAUAAAACACCCUAAUGAGGAAUAAGUGUUUACUCAAUUUUGCCGCACGAUGGGGAGCAAUACAGAGCUAUCUGCAGUCAGUGUGGUUGUUAAUAUUCAUUGAAAAGGGACCGGGAUGAGCUGCUCCAGUUAAUUGUCAGUGGAUCCCAUAGAGGCAGAAAUCGCCUCAUUCCACUUUCCUUUCAUCUUGAAUGAUGACAAUGCCAGGAAAUGCUUAUUUUGUGAUUGUUUUCUAUUGUCAGAUUUAACUUGGAUCACACAAAGAUACACAAAUUGUGUAAUGUCAAGGACAGGCAAACAGCAUUCAGAUGACUUCAAGUGCUAACUCAGGGUAUGCAUCCUCCAAGCCUCUCAUGUGUCAAUACUAUGCAAAGAAACAGGGAGCAGCAAUCUUCUGGUGAACUGAGUUAGCAGUCAUCGUUCCCCGCACAGCCAUCCUUGGAUGAUGACAGCAGCGUAAAGACUGUCUGCGCAGAGCUCACAUAUGAUGUGUGUUAACUGUGGAUGAGCUUCCUGUGGGUACCAUUACAAACAACCACAAACCUCGUGGCCUCAAACAACAGAAAUGUAUUGUCUCACAGUUCUGGAGGCCAGAAGUCCACAAUUGAGGUGUCAGUGGGGUUGGUUCCUUCCAGAGGCUCAGAGGGAGACCCAUUCCAUGCCUCUCUCCUGGCUUCCAGCGGCUGCCAGUCAGUCUUGUUGCUUGGCUGGUUGACUGGAGUUGCGCCGCUGCAGUCUCUGCCUCUGUCUUUACAUGUGGCUCACUUGGGUGUCUGUGUGUCCUCUCCUCUUCUUAUAAGGAUGCCAGUCAUUGGACUUAGAGCCUGCCCUAAAUCCAACAGGAUCUCAUCUUGAGACUGUUAGCUUAAUUACCUCUGCUAAGACCCUGUUUCCAAAUAAAGUCACAUUUACAUGUCCUGGGAGUUAGGACUUGGACAUAGUUUGGGAGAACACUAUUUAACCAACUACAACCUGCAUUUAUAAGAACGUGCAGAGAAAGGUUAAGGUGGGCCAUCCCUGAGCUCUCACCUUUAGGCACUGCUGAUAGUGUAUGUCUUUGCUCCCACUGACCCACCACCACUAAGUCCCACGGCCAGCACCCUGCCUUCUGCCCCGCCCUUGGCUUUGCAUAAGUGCAUCUAGAACAUCAGUUUUCCACUUUGAUAUGAACCAAGACUCAGAAGAAGAGACUUCUGGUGGGGAUAGGGGGGACUCAGAAGGAGCCUCCAUAAAGGGCACACAAAGGAACCGAGACAGAAGCCUGACUUAGCAUCACUCCUGGAACAGGACAGAAGUGACGUGAGCUGUCACUUCUCCAGCAGGCUGUCACUUGUUACUUCCCUCCUCUGAUCCAGGCUGCUCUGUCCUGGAGCAGUUCCAGAAGCCUGGAAGGUGGCAAAGAAGUAGAAAGGCUAAGCUGUGAACUCUCAGCAGGAUUCACAGGCUGCUCUUGGGCAAAACAUCAGAGUGUGAUAAUAUUCCCAACCAAUGAGUCCCUCUCCAGGUAUUUGAAGGAAAUCUCAUAGCCAGGUGGUAAGAGAUGUUGCUGCCACUUUUAGCCUCUGCACAGUGAAACUGAGAAACUUGACAAAAAGGAGUCCACACCUGUAUGGGUGUUACCCAAAAAGAAAUCACGAGAGUGACCUUGAUAUGGUUUGGCUGUGUCCCCAUUCAAAUCUCAACUUCAAUUGUAUCUCCCAGAAUUCCCACGUGUUAUGGGACGGACCCAGCGGGAGGUAAUUGAAUCAUGGGGGUGGUCUCUUCCAUGCUAUUCUCGUGAUAGUGAAUAAGUCUCACAACAUCUGAUGGGUUUAUCAGGGGGUUCUGCUUUUGCUUCUUCCUCAUUCUCUCUUGCUGCUACCAUGUAUAAAGUGCCUUUUGCCUUCCGUCAUGAUCACGAGAUCUCCCCAGCCAUGUGGAACCAUAAGUCAAAUUAAACCUCCUUUUCUCCCCAGUCUUGGGUUUGUCUUUAUCAGCAGCUUAAAAACGGACUAAUACAGACCUGCUUCAAAAUUUUCACAAAUCAGCUGGGGAAAAAAAGCAGAACCAUGGGAG
rnacentral:lncRNA from 10 species